GGAUACAGGACUUCUGGUCCCCAUGUGGAGCUCAGGGUCUGGCUGGAGCCAUGUGGUGUGGGGAAGAGGGCAGGAAAGCAAGGUGGCGCCAGCCAACCACAGGGCCCCCCAUGUGGCCCCACAUAACCCACUAAUCAUGGCCAACGCUUGACCAAAGAGAAUGAGAACUCCAAGAAUACCUGCAAGAAUCCCUUCACAGCUGCUCUAAAUUUUGCCAGAUGUUUCCAAUACUAGAGAGGGCAGCCUAAUACAGGAGUUGUGAGGGAGACUAUAGAGCCAGGUAUGGGUUAAGUCUCCUUCUCCAGUCAGUGAAAGCCCAUGGUGAUGACCAAGACCUUUGCUAGGCCAGAUCCACUGAGCCAAAUGUCCAAAGAGCUCAGGUCAUUAUGGAGAGAUGCAGGACUAGUCAGAGGCCCUGCUUCAGACCAAGGCCUCCUCCCUAGUCAGUUUCCCUAGCCAGUUGUACUCCCCAUCAAGCCAAUCACAGGCCCCAUCUCAACCCUCUUUAAGGGUUAUAGCAUGCAGAGGACCAAGGAAAGGGCUUUAGCACCUCCCUUUGGGGUGGCAAGAAAAGAAGUAUUUGGAAUGGAUUUUGCUCCCCUUGGGUACUAGAGCCUCCAAGUAGGCUUCAACUCUAGACUGGGCCCCAGCAGAGGGCAAACAGGAGAUGGGCAGAUGAGGGAAGGAACCAAAGCAAGAGCCAGAGUCCCAACCCUCAACUCAGUUUCCCAACUUGUGAGGCAAAACACACUGGGGGUGAGUUUGGUUCUCUUCAACUCCUCUUAUUCCCAAGUUCUGAAUGGGGACCCAGAAUCUGGGCUGUGGGAUUGAGGGUGUCGUGACCCCAGCUAACUCUAACAGUAUCUUGCUCGCUUCCUGCACGUAUCCCACCCCUCGGUGACCGGCUGUUUCCUUUUAACCUGGAUCCCUUCUCUGACCUCUGACCCGUGGUUUUGCCUCUUGUUCCGUGGCCCUCCUUAGCCCCCGAACCAGGUAUGUGACGUGACUUCAAUGCCACAUGACAUAUGUGUCCAUGUGUGGGUGUGUGCAGGAGCCAGCCAAAAAGGAACAAGAGGGUGCCAUGUAACUUACCCAUCUCUACUACACACCUGUGUGUCCCUCUCCCCCUCUCCCACACUGCCUUCCAUUCAUUCAUUCUCUCUCCUCCCUCCCUUUCUCCUUCCCUGGUGCUGCUCCACAGAGGAAGUCCAAGAAGAGGAGAAACCAAGACCCAAACUUACUGCUCCUAAGAUCCCAGAAGGGGAAAAAGUAGACUUCGAUGAUAUCCAGAAGAAGCGUCAGAACAAGGACCUCAUGGAGCUCCAGGCCCUCAUUGACAGCCACUUUGAAGCUAGAAAGAAAGAAGAAGAGGAGCUAAUUGCACUUAAAGAGAGAAUUGAGAAGCGCCGUGCAGAGAGGGCUGAGCAGCAGAGGAUUCGCGCUGAGAAGGAGCGAGAACGCCAGAACAGACUGGCGGAGGAGAAGGCCAGAAGAGAGGAGGAGGAUGCCAAGAGGAGAGCCGAAGAUGACAUGAAGAAGAAAAAGGCUCUGUCCUCCAUGGGUGCCAACUACAGCAGCUACCUGGCCAAGGCUGACCAGAAGAGAGGCAAGAAACAGACAGCCCGGGAAAUGAAAAAGAAGAUUCUCGCAGAAAGGCGCAAACCUCUGAACAUCGACCAUCUUAGUGAUGACAAGCUGAGGGACAAAGCCAAAGAACUCUGGGAUACCUUGUACCAACUGGAAACUGACAAAUUCGAGUUUGGGGAGAAGCUGAAACGUCAGAAAUAUGAUAUCAUGACUGUCCGGGCCAGAGUGGAGAUGCUGGCCAAGUUGUGAGUAGGCAGAGCCUGCUAUAGGCCAGGCUUGUGGGUGUGCAAUGCUCAGCUAGCAUCUCGCAUGGCAAAGAUUUGGGUUGUUGAGGACACUGGUGGCAAAAGGCCUUUCCUUCCUGCCCCAGCUCCUCCCUCCUGACUUUAGCUGGUGGCUAUGAGGCUGGCCCAAUGCCCUUAUUGGCAGAUGAGAAAGGAAGGCCCUUGCCUUCCUAGAGGUCCACUUGGUGCCAGAGCCUCUGGGCCACCAAGUCAGGAGUAGGUACCAUGGACCAAGGAGCAGGACGGUCGGGAUCAGGAGUCAGUGGUGGAACUUAGAAAGGUCUAAAGGCCUUACUUCCACCCUGUCCCUUGUCCCUGCCUGCAUCCUGCUGUAGCCACAAGGUAAGUGGCUAGCUGGGAGCUGCUGUGUGUGGUAGCUAGAGAAAACAAGUCAAGACACAGCCCAAGGACAAAGAACAGUGCCCUCUCACUAAGGAGACAGUAAGGAAAAUGGUAUAGGAGACUGUGUCCCUAUACAUCGGGGAUGCCACAGUUGGCCUGCCCUGUGGUGAAGACCUGUGUCUCCUGGCCAGUGCCCGGCUGGGCUUACAAGAUCCCUGUCACAGUAAGUCACCUGUGUUGUUACAGAUCACCACCCUCAGGAGCCGCAUUGACCAGGCCCAGAAGCACAGCAAGAAGGCCGGUGCCACAGCCAAGGGCAAAGUCGGUGGGCGCUGGAA